CCUACGGGGGGCUGCAGUGAGGAAUAUUGGUCAAUGGACGAGAGUCUGAACCAGCCAAGUAGCGUGAAGGAUGACUGCCCUAUGGGUUGUAAACUUCUUUUAUAUGGGAAUAAAACGUUCCACGUGUGGGAUUUUGUAUGUACCAUAUGAAUAAGGAUCGGCUAACUCCGUGCCAGCAGCCGCGGUAAUACGGAGGAUCCGAGCGUUAUCCGGAUUUAUUGGGUUUAAAGGGAGCGUAGGUGGAUUGUUAAGUCAGUUGUGAAAGUUUGCGGCUCAACCGUAAAAUUGCAGUUGAAAAUGGCAGUCUUGAGUACAGUAGAGGUGGGCGGAAUUCGUGGUGUAGCGGUGAAAUGCUUAGAUAUCACGAAGAACUCCGAUUGCGAAGGCAGUUCACUGGACUGCAACUGACACUGAGGCUCGAAAGUGUGGGUAUCAAACAGGAUUAGAUACCCCUGUAGUC
rnacentral:rRNA from 1 species